ACAUGAGCAAUAAAUGGGACGUGAUAAACAGUAGUUCGUUGCCGUUUAUUGACGCUCCAAAAUUUCGCCAACCGUAUGCAACCGCAAAUCGACUUGACGCCAUAUGGAGAUUAUUCCAUGGCAAGGUCUCAUUCGUAUUCCGUUAACCAGACUCACCGACAUGAUUCGUCUCGUUACGUUACGAGGGUACGUUACGUUGAGAGAAACGGAAGAGAAACGUGCUAGAUGAGGACGACCGACUGGAAGGAUGAGAAAGACUAGCAAGAAAAACAGAGAAAGGGGCAAAGAGAGGAAAAGGGUGGGCACUUCUCAGGUACUUUUCUAGAUCUCUAUUCCGGAGAUGAUAAGUCUUUUGGAACAUCCGCGAGAGUGUGGCGUGUGAUGAUUAAAAAAAGCAACGUUGAAGCGGGCUGGAAAAAGCAACGCGCGAGGAUCUCAACGUCGAGGAACGAUCGAUCGAUCGAUGAGAGGAUUUCGUACGUACACGAUUGCACAAAUCACUCCUCGUGAUUAUUCGAAUCGAAAAAAAUACCUAUAAAUUCUCAACGAAUCAAUUCGAUACAGCUGAAAGAACAGGCCGCAACUGAGAAAGUUGGGAAAAUUCAACCAGAGGGACGUAUUGCGAUGGAAUAGAA